AAGCCCCAGUAAACGGCGGCCGUAACUAUAACGGUCCUAAGGUAGCGAAAUUCCUUGUCGGGUAAGUUCCGACCCGCACGAAUGGUGUAACGAUCUGGGCACUGUCUCAACUACCCACCCGGCGAAAUUGUAGUACCGGUGAAGAUGCCGGUUACCUGCGGCAAGACGGAAAGACCCCAUGGAGCUUUACUGUAGCCUGAUAUUGGGUUUCGGAAAUCUAUGUACAGGAUAGGCGGGAGACUAGGAAACAUGAGCGUCAGCUUGUGUGGAGUCGAUGUUGGGAUACCGCCCUUAGGUUUCUGGAAUUCUAACCUGCGGCCGUGAAUCCGGUCGGGGGACAUUGUCAGGUGGGCAGUUUGACUGGGGCGGUCGCCUCCGAAAAGGUAACGGAGGCGCUCAAAGGUUAGCUCAGCACGGACGGAAACCGUGCCUCUGAGUGUAAACGCAAAAGCUAGCCUAACUGCGAGGGUGACGGCCCGAGCAGUAACGAAAGUUGGAGUUAGUGAUCCGGCGGUAUGUGAAUGGAAAUGCCGUCGCUCAACGGAUAAAAGCUACCCUGGGGAUAACAGGCUGAUCUCCCCCAAGAGUUCACAUCGACGGGGAGGUUUGGCACCUCGAUGUCGGCUCAUCGCAUCCUGGGGCUGAAGUAGGUCCCAAGGGUUGGGCUGUUCGCCCAUUAAAGCGGUACGCGAGCUGGGUUCAGAACGUCGUGAGACAGUUCGGUCCCUAUCUGUCGUGGGCGCAGGAUAUUUGAGGAGCUCUGUCCUUAGUACGAGAGGACCGGGAUGGACGUACCUCUGGUGCACCAGUUGUCAUGCCAAUGGCACGGCUGGGCAGCUAUGUACGGAACGGAUAAACGCUGAAAGCAUCUAAGCGUGAAGCCGACUCCAAGAUUAGAUAUCCCAUCGUAUAACGAGUAAGACCCCUUGAAGACUACGAGGUUGAUAGGCUGCGUGUGUAAGUGCCGUGAGGCAUUCAGCUUGGCAGUACUAAUAGGUCGAGGGCUUGACCAC
rnacentral:rRNA from 1 species